CACGUAGGGCGCAAGCGUUGUCCGGAAUUAUUGGGCGUAAAGAGCUCGUAGGCGGCUUGUCGCGUCGUUCGUGAAAACCUGGGGCUCAACUCCAGGCUUGCGGGCGAUACGGGCAGGCUAGAGUUCGGUAGGGGAGACUGGAAUUCCUGGUGUAGCGGUGAAAUGCGCAGAUAUCAGGAGGAACACCAAUGGCGAAGGCAGCUCGCUGGGACGGUACUGACGCUGAGACGCGAAAGCGUGGGGAGCAAACAGG
rnacentral:rRNA from 1 species